CAAGGCGGCUCUCAUACCUGCAUGUACUCACAUGUGUCACUGGCACAGCCAGCGGACCUGAUAGCCAAGUGUGUGGGUUAUCUGGUGGCUGACGAGCCUGGCAAAACUGAGAAGCUGAGAUGGAGCGUGGCCCUACCUGUGUGGACUGAUGAUUUUUCUCCAUGCAGCCCAUCAAAUUUAAACGUGACCUGUGUUCCUUACCAUGUAUUUUCCAACAACUAAACGAAGCUUCCUGAUGUGAUGUAAUGAAAUCUGUCACCUUUAAUAAGCUAGAGAACCUUGAAUCUGGGUCCCCAAAUGUGACAAGUCUAAUGUGACCAAACCAGGUUGAAUGUCAACAAAGAACUGCACUUUCCCAAAUCUGAAUUCUCAUUUUUUACACAUUUUCAAACUUAUUUAGGGAGCAGCUUUUGAAAAAUAUUUGCUCAAAGAACGUAUAUCACUCUCAGACUCAUACGACGGAAAAGUUGAAUAGAAAACUAGAAAGGCUUCUGUAGAUGUAUAUCCUUCGAAGAGAUUUUAAUAAACCAUGAAUAAAUUAAAUGGUUUUAAGAAAAAAGAGAAAUUAUUUGAUACAUAAUUUUCAUGCACACAGAAAACAUGCUAAACAUAGGUAGAUACGAAUUUUGAAUAAAAUCACAGACCACUAAACAAAAAAGACAGAUGCAGCCUCGUGAGUUCUCUGACCUUGGGCAAGUCCUUCAUAAGAAGGGACAUAAAGAAUAUCUGACCUUCAGCUCCACCGAGAUGCAAAGGCAGAUACAAAUGUGAGGAAAAGUGCUCUGUAAACCGCAGGCUGCUGUCCAAAUAUUGCGUGGAAGCCUAACCCCGUUUGUUAUUCAAAAGGAAGUGGUGGGAUAUAAAUGGAUGAACUCAUUAGUAAUGCAGUUAACACCAUAAAGUGCAUUACUGUUACCUACCACAGGGCACUAGAAGGCACUCUAUAAAUACACGAAAAUACACUGAAUUCAGCCAAAAUACUGUGCCAUUUAAAUCUGUGUAAAUCCACAAAUUGAUAAUUUCCACCUUCAAACAAAAUAUUAUGCUAAUAUAUAUAUAUAUACAUAUAAUACAACUAAGAGCAGUACUACU
rnacentral:lncRNA from 1 species